rnacentral:rRNA from 1 species
GACGAACGCUGGCGGCGUGCUUAACACAUGCAAGUCGAACGGAAAGGCCCUGCUUUUGUGGGGUGCUCGAGUGGCGAACGGGUGAGUAACACGUGAGUAACCUGCCCUUGACUUUGGGAUAACUUCAGGAAACUGGGGCUAAUACCGGAUAGGAGCUCCUGCUGCAUGGUGGGGGUUGGAAAGUUUCGGCGGUUGGGGAUGGACUCGCGGCUUAUCAGCUUGUUGGUGGGGUAGUGGCUUACCAAGGCUUUGACGGGUAGCCGGCCUGAGAGGGUGACCGGCCACAUUGGGACUGAGGUACGGCCCAGACUCCUACGGGAGGCAGCAGUGGGGAAUAUUGCACAAUGGGCGGACGCCUGAUGCAGCAGCGCCGCGUGCGGGAUGACGGCCUUCGGGUUGUAAACCGCUUUCGCCUGUGCCGAAGCGUGAGUGACGGUAAUGGGUAAGGAAGCACCGGCUAACUACGUG